GCUGGAACCUGUACGGAGCUGGAGGAGACAAACAGGUGUUUUAAAUCUGCUUUGAUGGAAACUUCUAUUCGCAGUCAAAAUGAAUACCCUGGAGGAAGCAUGAGGAAGGGAUUUUGAGAAGCUGUGGUGCCCCUUGCACCCCGGUGCUGUGACAGAAAUUCCUAUUCCCAGGGUUGGCCCAGGUACACGUGGUUCCCCUGUACUAAUGAUUAGAUGGGCCCACUGCAGGCAGAGGAUGUGUGGAAAUUGCGAAAGUUCCCCCCUUCCUGCUUUAUUUGCUGCCGGAUCCCAGCCUGGAGCCCUGAGAACAGUUGGAUUUCCGAGGCCUCGGGCAUAGCUGAAUGGCCUCCCCCACCAGCCUACCCACCUCGCCCCAUUGUGGGAGGGUCCCUCCCUGGAGCUGCGGGGCAGGGCUGAUCAGCUAGAAGCUGGGCCCUGCCAGGGUUUCUCCUUCUGCAUUAUUGAUCUGCUGCCUGGCUGUGGACGUGAAUAAUUCAUCAGGGAGGAAGCAUGAGAAUGGCAAAUCCGAGGCAUCCGGGCUCCUCCCCGCCUCCAGCUCAGGGUUUACUCCACUCUGCUUAAUGGGCUUCCAUGGAGGCCCUGCUGAUUCUCCCGGUUCUCCUCCUGCUGGAUGCUGGAUGAGCUGUUUGGGGUGGCGGGGGCAGUCGGAGCACAGGAGUGUGGGGAACCCUGGAUGUGGGUGCAGCUGCUGGAAGCACCAGGCUACCAGCCAGAAGACUCCUUCUCCACAUGAAUCUGCCUGCUGGGGCAAAUUGGGAGGCAGAGGUCAGGAACUAGGGAAGUGGGUGGCUGAGGUAGAUGAGCCCACAUUCCUGCCGUCUCAUUGGAUGGAGAAUCUUCUACACAUUUCCUAAUCACUUUUGAAUUCAGGGAAGUUUUAACAAGGAUCCCCUUGUACACAGCUGCUUGUCAUGGGAAGAGGUUUCUGGGUGAGAGGAGAAGGUCUCCUUGGAACUCUCCCAGGAAUGCAGUGGGCAGGAGGGCCAUGGGAUAAACAUCACAGCCCAGAAGCCUCUGUCUGCUCGCCUGACUCUCAGACAGGCCCCUCCGAUGUGAUCAACAACCUUCCUCCAUGAGAACUUUCUGUGCUCCCCGGCCCAUGCAAUAUUCAUUCUUUAAGCUUUUUUCUUUUUUAAACAUUAAAACUAUCCAAG
ensembl:lncRNA